rnacentral:misc_RNA from 1 species
GAUGAAGAACGUAGCGAAAUGCGAUAAGUAGUGUGAAUUGCAGAAUUCAGUGAAUCAUCGAAUCUUUGAACGCACAUUGCGCCCUUUGGUAUUCCUUAGGGCAUGCCUGUUCGAGCGUCAUUUAAACCUUCAAGCUCAGCUUGGUGUUGGGUGACUGUCCGCUUCACCGCGGACUCGCCUCAAAAUUAUUGGCGGCCGGUACAUUGGCUCUCGAGCGCAGCAGAAACGCGUAACUCGAAGUCCUCGUGCUGGCUCCCAGAAGCUAUCUUCACAAUUUUGACCUCGGAUCAGGUAGGGAUACCCGCUGAACUUAAGCAUAUCAAAAGCGGAGGA